AUUGAACGCUGGCGGCAUGCUUUACACAUGCCAGUCGAACGGUAACAGGCCGCAAGGUGCUGACGAGUGGCGAACGGGUGAGUAAUGCAUCGGAACGUGCCCAGUCGUGGGGGAUAACUACUCGAAAGAGUAGCUAAUACCGCAUACGAUCUAUGGAUGAAAGCGGGGGACCGUAAGGCCUCGCGCGAUUGGAGCGGCCGAUGUCAGAUUAGGUAGUUGGUGGGGUAAAGGCUCACCAAGGCAACGAUCUGUAGCUGGUCUGAGAGGACAACCAGCCACACUGGGAGUGAGACACGGCCCAGACUCCGACGGGAGGCAGCAGUGGGGAAUUUUGGACAAUGGGCGCAAGCCUGAUCCAGCAAUGCCGCGUGCAGGAAGAAGGCCUUCGGGUUGUAAACUGAUGUUGUACGGAGCGAAGCGGCUCUGGUUAAUACCCGGAGCUAAUGACGGUACCGUAAGAAGAAGCACCGGCUAACUACGUG
rnacentral:rRNA from 1 species